rnacentral:rRNA from 1 species
AUUGAACGCUGGCGGCAGGCCUAACACAUGCAAGUCGAGCGGAUGAAGGGAGCUUGCUCCUGGAUUCAGCGGCGGACGGGUGAGUAAUGCCUAGGAAUCUGCCUGGUAGUGGGGGAUAACGUCCGGAAACGGGCGCUAAUACCGCAUACGUCCUGAGGGAGAAAGUGGGGGAUCUUCGGACCUCACGCUAUCAGAUGAGCCUAGGUCGGAUUAGCUAGUUGGUGGGGUAAAGGCCUACCAAGGCGACGAUCCGUAACUGGUCUGAGAGGAUGAUCAGUCACACUGGAACUGAGACACGGUCCAGACUCCUACGGGAGGCAGCAGUGGGGAAUAUUGGACAGUGGGCGAAAGCCUGAUCCAGCCAUGCCGCGUGUGUGAAGAAGGUCUUCGGAUUGUAAAGCACUUUAAGUUGGGAGGAAGGGCAGUAAGUUAAUACCUUGCUGUUUUGACGUUACCAACAGGAUAAGCACCGGCUAACUUCGUG